GGGGGUGUUCCGGUUUCGACUGUCGGAUGUACACUCACCGGUUGCAAGCGGAGGUGCCCUUCUCCUCCUUAAUCCAGGGCAAACUGUAUAACUGCCAACGACGCAGAUUACGCAUUAGCCGCGUAAGUCGGCUACGGGCCCGUAUCACGAUGUCCUUAGGGAUACGGUAGCUUGUAAGAAAGUGGGACUUACCCUUUUUGUUCGGCUGUGGCCUAAAGGGGACAUUUUAUCAGUCUUAGGUCGGCUGUGGUUUGUUUUGUCACCGUAUGUCUGCCGAAAGUCAAGACAAAACUAAGCUUGUAGAUACUUGUGGGUUGCCCGGUAGGACGCGGGUUCGAUUCCCGCCACCUCCAUGC
rfam:Sediminispirochaeta smaragdinae DSM 11293 chromosome, complete genome.